UACGGGGGGGGCAAGCGUUGUUCGGAAUUACUGGGCGUAAAGGGCGCGUAGGCGGCCUGCUAAGUCGGACGUGAAAUCCCCCGGCUCAACCGGGGAACUGCGUCCGAUACUGGUGGGCUCGAAUCCGGGAGAGGGAUGUGGAAUUCCAGGUGUAGCGGUGAAAUGCGCAGAUAUCAGGAGGAACACCGGUGGCGAAGGCGGGUCUCUGGGCAGUAACUGACGCUGAGGAGCGAAAGCGUGGGGAGCGAACAGG
rnacentral:rRNA from 1 species